GUGAGUAACACGUGGGUGACUUGCCCCGAAGAUGGGGAUAACCUCUGGAAACGGGGGCUAAUACCCAAUGUGCUCGGUGAUUCGGUUCAUCGAGUAAAGCUCCGGCGCUUCGGGAGAGGCCUGCGGCCCAUCAGCUAGUUGGUAGGGUAACGGCCUACCAAGGCAGAGACGGGUAGGGGGCGUGAGAGCGCGGACCCCCACACUAGCACUGAGAUACGGGCCAGACUCCUACGGGAGGCAGCAGUAAGGGAUAUUGCGCAAUGGACGAAAGUCAGACGCAGCGACGCCGCGUGGGCGAUGAAGGCCUUCGGGUUGUAAAGCCCUUUUAUGGGGGAAGAGAAAAAGGACGGUACCCCAGGAAUAAGUCCCGGCUAACUACGUGCCAGCAGCCGCGGUAAAACGUAGGGGACAAGCGUUAUCCGGAUUCACUGGGCGUAAAGAGCGUUGAGGCGGUUCCGUAAGUUGGGCGUGAAAGCUCCGGGCUUAACUCGGAGAUGUCGUUCAAUACUGCGGGGCUUGAGGACAGCAGAGGAAGGUGGAAUUCCCGGUGUAGUGGUGAAAUGCGUAGAUAUCGGGAGGAACACCCGUGGCGAAGGCGGCCUUCUGGGCUGUUCCUGACGCUGAAGGCGAAAGCUAGGGGAGCGAACGGGAUUAGAUACCCCGGUAGUCCUAGCUGUAAACGAUGGAUGCUGGGUGUGGGGGGUGUAAAUUCCCUCUGUGCCGAAGCAAACGCGUUAAGCAUCCCGCCUGGGGACUACGGCCGCAAGGCUAAAACUCAAACGAAUUGACGGGGGCCCGCACAAGCAGCGGAGCGUGUGGUUUAAUUCGAUGCUACACGAAGAACCUUACCUGGGUUUGACAUGCACGUGGUAGGGAACCGAAAGGGGACCGACCUUCGGGAGCGUGCACAGGUGCUGCAUGGCUGUCGUCAGCUCGUGCCGUGAGGUGUCGGGUUAAGUCCCGUAACGAGCGCAACCCUUGCCGUUAAGUUACAACGUGUCUAAGGGGACUGCCCGGGACAACUGGGAGGAAGGUGGGGAUGAUGUCAAGUCAGCAUGGCCUUUAUAUCCAGGG
rnacentral:rRNA from 1 species